rnacentral:sRNA from 1 species
UAUAAACAUACGCUUAAUCUCUGGUCCGAUGGAUCAUGAAGAGCGGGGGAACCAUUACGUGGGGCGAAUCAUUCAUGACCUGAAUGUAGGGUACCAUCUUACCCGAGUCCGUCAGCUAACCUCGUCAGCAGUAGAUGGGUCUG